UGGCUCGGUGAGCUAUGGGUCCCUUCGGUGUUCUCUGUGGGGUGGGCUCCUCUUGACAGUUCUGCGGAGCUGCCUCCAGUGGGUUUCUUUCUCAGUCUUGCGGUGGAUAAUGAGUUCCUGCAGCAGUGGCCCCAUCUAUCCAGAGGUCUGAAUCUCAGCUUUGCCGGGGCGGGAGUUGGGAGGCUCCUCGAAUUUUCCAAGUGCCAUCGCCCUGGACUGCAAGUCUCAAAGUCAUCUAUGAAUAGUGAAACCAAAAAAGAGGCACCUGGGUUGAGGUCCUGGCCCUAGAUGGGAGAAGAGAGGCCAUUGAGAGCACUAUGCUAUUCAAGACCUGCCGGACCCCAGGCUUUAGACCGUGUGGUUGACUGACUUCCUCCCUCUAGAUGCCUAGAGGGAAGGUUUGGAAAGACAACUUGCUGAGAAUGUAUGAAGAGUUUGGUGGAAAUUUCCAGAAGCCAGGAGCUAAAGAACUUCUCUAAGAAAAGGAGGAAAAUGUUCUCUGAGUGAAUUUCAUGUUACCUUGUCUACUUUCACUGUGUCCUGUGUUCAAAGUUUGCAGGAGUUUGCUUGACGGGUUAUUUUUGGUCAUUUACAUAAACAUGUAAAGGUCCAUUUGCUCAACAAAUGAAUACGUGUUGGUGCCUAUAAUCAAUGUGUUAACUUCACUGAUGGCCCUUACCCUUGAGAUUGCUUGUUUAUUUGUCUGCAGACUGGAUGCAUCUAGCACAGGACCUGGCACAUAGGGGGCCCAGUAAAUACUUCUUGCCUGGAUGGGAAAUGAAUGUGCAAGGUGUUACAAUGUGUCUGGCAUUACAAUGCCAGAUGCUGGCUUUAGACAGGUUGUUUGGACCAGCCUGAGAGGGCGUCAUGGCUGGCUGGUGGGGUUGUUUUCCACUCACUUUACAGUCCGGCGCUCUUUAAGUUAGUCACAGUCCCAGAAAGGGGCAGAGCCAAAUUUAAUCCAGAUCCCCUGACUCCCCAUGCUUUCUCUAUUAUUCUCUAUUCCGAAACCAUGUAUGUUGGAAAUAGAGGUACUGCUAUCAAACCUGUACAGAAUGAUUUGAAUUGUGAUUGUAUCUUUCUGAAUUCAAGCAUUUGAAUGCCAAAGUG